UUAUUUUUGCAGCACCAAUUUACAACUUGAGUUGUCUCACGGCUCACCACAUAGUAAGAUGAUCCCUGCAGAUUCCCAAAAUGUGGGAAUCUCGACUGCAUAAUUUCUGGUAGUGGGGGACUGCUUUUCUUGAAUUUCCCUC
rnacentral:snRNA from 1 species